CAGCAGCCGCGGUAAUACCAGCUCCCCGAGUGGUGGGGACCAUUACUGGGCUUAAAGCGUCCGUAGCCGGCCUUACAAGUCUUCCGUUAAAUCCAGCGGCCUAACCGCUGGGCCGCGGGAGAUACUGUAAGGCUAGGGGGCGGGAUAGGCCGACGGUAUUCUCGGGGUAGGGGUGAAAUCCUAUAAUCCUGAGGGGACCACCAGUGGCGAAGGCGGUCGGCUAAAACGCGCUCGACGGUGAUGGACGAAAGCUGGGGGAGCGAACCGGAUUAGAUACCCGGGUAGUCCCAGCUGUAAACGAUGCGGGCUAGGUGUUGGAGCGGAUACGAGCCGCUUCAGUGCCGCAGGGAAACCGUUAAGCCCGCCGCCUGGGAAGUACGGUCGCAAGGCUGAAGCUUAAAGGAAUUGGCGGGGGAGCACUACAGGGCGUGAAGCUUGCGGUUUAAUUGGAGUCAACGCCGGGAACCUUACCGGAGGAGACAGCAGGAUGAAGGCCAGAUUGAAGGUCUUGCUAGACAAGCUGAGAGGAGGUGCAUGGCCGUCGCCAGUUCGUGCCGUGAGGUGUCCUGUUAAGUCAGGCAACGAUCGAGACCCGCACCCCUAGUUGCUACCGGACCCCGUCGGAGUCUGGGCACACCAGGGGGACCGCCACCGAAAAGGUGGAGGAAGGAGCGGGCCACGGCAGGUCAGUAUGCCCUGAAUCCUCCGGGCCACACGCGAGCUGCAAUGGUAGGGACAGAGGGUUCCAACCCCGAAAGGGGAAGGUAAUCUCUAAACCCUAUCUCAGUUGGGAUCGAGGGCUGAAACCCGCCCUCGUGAACAUGGAAUGCCUAGUAACCGCGUGUCAUCAUCGCGCGGUGAAUACGUCCCUGCUCCUUGCACACACCGCCCGU
rnacentral:rRNA from 1 species